CGAAACUGUAUUGAUCGAGCACAAGAACAGUACUGUUGUCGUCCAUGGCUACCAUCACUGGUACGUACAUUAGCUUCUAUCGAUUACUUGAUUUCAUAAUGAAAUUUUUGUUAUCCCCGAUGUCAAAUUCUUAGGAUCAUGAACGCUUGAUUCAAUACAAUCCAAUUGGCUUUAAGUUUCAGAGUUUGAAACAUUCUUUACAAUAUUGUUUGUUCUUGAUGUUUCUUUGUAGGUGUUGAUGAUGUGAGCAAGAACCACCCACUUAAAAAACUUGUUGAACUGACUCAAAAGGAGAAGAAGAACACUGUGAUCCUCAAUCAUCUAAGCUUGUUUGGUCCUGAAGCAGAGGUCAUUAGAUCUAUUCCUUUCGCAUAUAACCUUUCUUGGUUACUAUCUUUAUGGUCAGUGUCUUAUUUGGGUUAAGUGUCACAUUGCUAUAUGAUAGGUUCUUAUACAAAUAUUUACUAGGAAAAUGCAUAAAGAUUAAAGAGUGAUAUGUUGUAAGAGUGUAGAGAUAACAGUAAGUUGAAUUGGUUGCCUUAGAGCUUUUAUUGGUAUGACUAAAAAAUAGUAAACACAUUGAUUCUUUUAGUUCUUUACACAAAGUAAAACAUUGUCUAUAUCAUGUUCCAUGGAAUCUUCUUACUCUGCAAACACCAUUUUCACAUGAUUGUACACUUAGGUUCGUGAUUGUAAACAGGUUCGCCUAUAUAGGGACUGCACGGGUAAGGAAAAGCAGAAGGCACACCGUAUCCUUGAGGAAAUGAGGAAGGCACACCAUAUCCUUGAGGCCACGGAUGAUAACACGGCACAGGUAUUGGCGCAGGCGCAGGAGGUUUCUUAUCAUCUGCUCCUUUCUUAUCAUCUGCGCCUUUUUUGUCGCCGUCUUUUCCCUUUGCAGCAUCCUUUCCAUCUCCUCCUUUCUUUUCCUCUUCUUUCUUUGGAGGUUCGACUUUAGUCACGCUUACAAGCUCUGCAAAU
rnacentral:lncRNA from 1 species